UUAUAUAGGAAAAGGUGGGAGAUAUAGCCAUGCGGGUUGGAUGUGACCUCAGAGAAGGAAGAGGUAACUGCUUCCAGGUGUGCCAGUUACCUAGGUAACUCAGGUACUGGGGCACAGACUUAAAUAGGUGGGGAGCAUUUGCAUGGAGCCCUCCCUGGGGUGGACCCUACAAUCUGUCCUUUUAAUA